ACCUGGUUGAUCCUGCCAGGAAGUCAUAUGUUUGUUUUUAAGAAUAAGCCAUGUAUGUUUAAGUAUUAGUUUUUAUAUGAUGAAACUGCGAAUAGCUUAUUAAAACAGUUAUAGUUUAUUUGAUAGAUUAUUAAAAUUAUUAUUAAAUGGAUAACAACAGUAAUUCUGAGGCUAAUACAUGAAUAAUUUUUUUAAUAAAAAGGUAUAUUUGAAAAUAAGAGAAGUAAUGUAUGUUUUAACAUAAGUAAAUGUUGAAUUAAUUUAAUUAAAUGAAUUAUAAAUAUAUUAAUGAAUCAAUUAUGUUUUUGAUCUAUCAGCUUUAAUAGUAGGGCAUUGUCUUAAUAUAGCAAUAACGGGUAACGGGGGGAUUAGGGUUUGGUUUUGGAGAGGGAGCUUGAGAAAUAGCUUGCUACAUCUAAGGUAAGGCAGCAGGCGCGUAAAUUAUCCAAUUUUAAUAAAAAGAGGUAGUGAUUAAGGAAUAACAGAGAUACAACAAGAUACAUAAUUGUUUUGUAAUUGGAGAUGAGCAGUCAUAUAAAGAAUUAAUUAAAUUUGAAUUGGAGGGCAAGUCUGGUGCCAGCAGCCGCGGUAAUUCCAGCUUCGAUAAUAUAUAUAUUAAUAUUGUUGCAGUUAAAAAGCUCGUAGUUGCAGUCUUAUUUAUAAUAAAAUAAUUAUUUCUUUUGUAUGAAAAUGUUGUUUUAAAAUUUUUAUUUUUCUUUAAAAAAGUAUAUGUGUGUUUGUAUAGUGAUWDUUUAAUAUUAUUUUGAGAAAAUUAAGAGUGAUAUUAGCAUGAUUUUUCAAUUGAAUAAUCAAUUGAAUAAUUUAGUAUGGAAUAUUAAUUUUAAUAAAAUUUAUUUUUGUUGGUUUUAAAAUAUUGAUUAAUAGUUUCUAAGAAUAUUUGGGGGUAUUUGUAUUUAACUGNCAAGAGGUGAAAUUCUUAGAUUUGUUGCAGAGAAUUUAUUGGUGAAAGCAUUUAUCAAAAGUAUUUUUACUAAUUAAGAACAAAAGUUGGGGGAUCGAAGAUGAUCAGAUACCGUCGUAGUCUUAAUUAUAAACUAUGCCGACUCAAGAUUAGAUGUGUUUAAUUAGAUGUAAUAUUUAGUAUUUUUUGAGAAAUCGAAGUUUUUAGGUUUUGGGGGGAGUAUGGUCGCAAGGUUGAAACUUAAAGGAAUUGACGGAAAGGCACUACUAGAAGUGGAGUAUGCGGUUUAAUUUGACUCAACACGGGAAAUCUUAUUAGGCUUAGACAUAGGAAGGAUUAACAGAUUAAUAGAUUUUUUUUGAUUUUAUGGGUGGUGGUGCAUGGCCGUUCUUAGUUGGUGGAGUGAUUUGUUUGGUUAAUUCCGAUAACGAACGAGACAUUAAUAUACUAAAUAGAGAAAUAAUAUUUGAUGUUUUACUUAAUGUGUUUUAGAGGGACUUUAUAUAUUUAAUUUAAGGAAGUUUAAAGUAAUAACAGGUCUGGAAUGCCUUUAGAUGUUCUUGGCUACACGCGUGUUACAUUGAUGUGAUUAAUUAGUUUACAACCUUAGUUGUUAAAUUAUGGUAAUCUUAUAAUGUACAUUGUAAUUGGGAUAGUGUAUUGUAAUUAUUAAUCUUAAACGAGGAAUUCCUAGUAAAUAUAAAUCAUAAACUUGUGUUAACUAUGUCCCUGCCUUUUGUACACACCGCCUGUCGCUCCUACCGAUUGAAUGAUCCGGUGAAUUAAUUAGAAUGUGUUUGAAUGUAUUUUAUAAUUAUAUUUUAUAUAUGUCAAAAUUUGUAAACCUUAUUAUUUAGAGGAAGGAGAAGUUCGUAACAAGGUUUCCGUAGGUGAACCACGCGGAA
rnacentral:rRNA from 1 species